rnacentral:tRNA from 1 species
GUGUGCAUGAUCUUGGCUGGUGCUGAGAACAGGCUUCAAACCUGUUGGGGCUUGACGGCCCAGUGGUUCGAUUCCACCUUGCGCAC